CCUACGGGACGCAGCAGUAGGGAAUCUUCCACAAUGGGCGAAAGCCUGAUGGAGCAACGCCGCGUGGGUGAAGAAGGUCUUCGGAUCGUAGAAUCCUGUUGUUAGAGAAGAAAGUGCGUGAGAGUAACUGUUCACGUUUCGACGGUAUCUAACCAGAAAGCCACGGCUAACUACGUGCCAGCAGCCGCGGUAAUACGUAGGUGGCAAGCGUUGUCCGGAUUUAUUGGGCGUAAAGCGAGUGCAGGCGGUUUAAUAAAUUUGAUGUUAAAGGUUUUGGCUUAAACGGAAAAUU
rnacentral:rRNA from 1 species